CAAAUGGAAAAUUUUCUACAGGAUACGUCCUGUGAGACAUCUCAAGAUUUCUUUUGUGGAACUCUGGAUGUGAAAGAUAAAACACUCUGUCAAUCAAAUUAAAAAUUAUGCCUUUCUUUGAGAUCGGGUGCUGAGACCAAUAAUUCAAAAAUCUUCUCGAAAAGUGUCCAAAAAACUAAUGGUAUCACCCCCCCACCUCUCUCGUGAAUUAAAGCCUCGG